rnacentral:tRNA from 1 species
UGGGGCGUGGAGCCUUCUUCCUGA